rnacentral:lncRNA from 10 species
GAGAGAUCCCUUGCAAGUUCCACCAUGUGAGGAUACAGGGAGAAAAUGGCAGUCUAUGAACCAGGAAGCAAGUCUUCACCAGAACCCAGCUGUGCUAGCACCCUGAACUCAGGCUUUCAGCCUCCAGAACUAUCCUCAGAGCUUUAUAGCCUUUCAGUUGAGAAAUAUGAAACACUGAAAAUCAAAAACAAAUGCUGGAAAUCUUCUUAACUGAACUUCAGAGACAAGUGGCCCGGGGCUAUCCAGUAACCUAAAAGUAUCAUUAGCAUCCCAUGCUCUCUCUGUCUUCCUCUUUUGAUAUUUCUAGCAUGACUCACCCAUGCUCACGUUUUUAUCAUGUCUCAAAGUGGCUGCUGCAGUUCCAGUGACAGAAUUGAUGUGUCAGACAGGAAGAAAAAGGAAAGUAGGAAAGACAAAAUUUUAUAAGUCAGCUAAAUGGAAAACAUGGAAAAGCUUUAAUCCCUAUCAUUGAUUUAAACAAACAAAAUCUCACACAUUUAAAAUAAAUGAUGCAAAGGAAAA